rnacentral:rRNA from 1 species
AGUGAACGCUGGCGGUAGGCCUAACACAUGCAAGUCGAACGGCAGCACAGUAAGAGCUUGCUCUUACGGGUGGCGAGUGGCGGACGGGUGAGGAAUACAUCGGAAUCUACUUUUUCGUGGGGGUUAACGUAGGGAAACUUACGCUAAUACCGCAUACGCCCUACGGGUGAAAGCAGGGGAUCUUCGGACCUUGUGCGAUUGAAUGAGCCGAUGUCGGAUUAGCUAGUUGGCGGGGUAAAGGCCCACCAAGGCGACGAUCCGUAGCUCGUCUGAGAGGAUGAUCACCCACACGGGAGCUGAGACACGGUCCAGACUCCUGCGGGAGGCAGCAGUGGGGAAUAUUGGACAAUGGGCGCAAGCCUGAUCCAGCCAUACCGCGUGGGUGAAGAAGGCCUUCGGGUUGUAAAGCCCUUUUGUUGGGAAAGAAAGGCAGCAGGUUAAUACCCCGCUGUUCUGACGGUACCCAAAGAAUAAGCACCGGCUAACUUCGUG